UUUACGCUGUCACUAUUGUUUUAGUGACACUGGUUUUCACUUUGAACUUUCUGUCACCUUUUGGCUGCAACUCCAGAACUGCAGCUACAUAUUCUCUCCACCGUCUUCUUCACAUAGAACCGGACCGGGUGAAGCCAGAGCCGGAGGCAUAAUAGCUGUGUCCCAAUUCAAGGGCCCUAUCCUUGGGAGGACGUGGUCUACGAAGGCGUGGCCCUUCGCAACCGACAUAGACCGCAAAGGCCGAACCGAAAUGAGACUGGUCUGGUCUACGGGGGACUUACGCUUUGUGUCACCAGCUGUGCCCGCCGUUACAUUUGUAUUGUAGCGUGUGGCGCCUUUCGCCUGGCAUCCUUGACAGCAUUAGAUGUGACUGUGUCUCUAGCACGGCAGCAGCAAGAGAAACUGUCGACUCGUGCUGACAAUAAACAGUCCUACCUGUGCUGCGGUUUGGUUGGUG